GAUCCUGGCUCAGGAUGAACGCUGGCGGUAUGCCUAACACAUGCAAGUCGAACGAUGUCUUCGGACAUAGUGGCGGACGGGUGAGUAACGCGUGAGAACCUACCUUCAAGUCGGGGACAACAACUGGAAACGGUUGCUAAUACCGGAUGUGCCGAGAGGUGAAAGAUUAAUUGCUUGAAGAAGGGCUCGCGUCUGAUUAGCUAGAUGGUGGGGUAAGAGCCUACCAUGGCGACGAUCAGUAGCUGGUCUGAGAGGAUGAGCAGCCACACUGGGACUGAGACACGGCCCAGACUCCUACGGGAGGCAGCAGUGGGGAAUUUUCCGCAAUGGGCGAAAGCCUGACGGAGCAAUACCGCGUGAGGGAGGAAGGCUCUUGCGUUGUAAACCUCUUUUCUCAGGGAAGAAGAUCUGACGGUACCUGAGGAAUAAGCAUCGGCUAACUCCGUGCCAGCAGCCGCGGUAAUACGGAGGAUGCAAGCGUUAUCCGGAGUCAUUGGGCGUAAAGCGUCCGCAGGUGGCCCAUCAAGUCUGUCGUCAAAGAGUGGAGCUUAACUCCAUAAAGGCGGUGGAAACUGGUGAGCUAGAGUUCGGGGUAGCAGGAAUUCCCAGUGUAGCGGUGAAAUGCGUAGAGAUUGGGAAGAACAUCGGUGGCGAAGGCGUGCUACUGGGCCGAAACUGACACUCAGGGACGAAAGCUAGGGGAGCGAAAGGGAUUAGAUACCCCUGUAGUCCUAGCUGUAAACGAUGGAAACUAGGCGUGGCUUGUAUCGACCCGAGCCGUGCCGAAGCUAACGCGUUAAGUUUCCCGCCUGGGGAGUACGCACGCAAGUGUGAAACUCAAAGGAAUUGACGGGGGCCCGCACAAGCGGUGGAGUAUGUGGUUUAAUUCGAUGCAACGCGAAGAACCUUACCAAGGCUUGACAUGUCCAGAAUCCUGCUGAGAGGCGGGAGUGCCUUCGGGAGCUGGAACACAGGUGGUGCAUGGCUGUCGUCAGCUCGUGUCGUGAGAUGUUGGGUUAAGUCCCGCAACGAGCGCAACCCCCGUUUUUAGUUGCCAGCAUUAAGUUGGGCACUCUAGAGAGACUGCCGGUGACAAACCGGAGGAAGGUGGGGAUGACGUCAAGUCAGCAUGCCCCUUACGUCUUGGGCUACACACGUACUACAAUGGUUGGGACAAAGAGCAGCGACCCCGCGAGGGUAAGCGAAUCUCGUCAAACUCAGCCUCAGUUCAGAUUGCAGACUGCAACUCGUCUGCAUGAAGGAGGAAUCGCUAGUAAUCGCAGGUCAGCAUACUGCGGUGAAUUCGUUCCCGGGCCUUGUACACACCGCCCGUCACACCAUGGGAGCUGGUCACGCCCGAAGUCAUUACCUCAACCUUUCGAGGAGGGGGAUGCCUAAGGCAGGGCUAGUGACUG
rnacentral:rRNA from 1 species